GAUGAACGCUAGCGGCAGGCUUAAUACAUGCAAGUCGAGGGGCAGCGGGAGUAGCAAUACUUGCCGGCGACCGGCGCACGGGUGCGUAACACGUAUGUAAUCUGCCCAUCACAGGAGGAUAGCCCGGAGAAAUUCGGAUUAAUACUCCAUAAUAAAUUGAGUGGCAUCACUUGAUUUUGAAAGUUCCGACGGUGAUGGAUGAACAUGCGACUGAUUAGUUAGUUGGUGAGGUAACGGCUCACCAAGACCACGAUCAGUAGGGGUACUGAGAGGUUAAACCCCCACAAUGGUACUGAGACACGGACCAGACUCCUACGGGAGGCAGCAGUAAGGAAUAUUGGACAAUGGCCGCAAGGCUGAUCCAGCCAUGCCGCGUGCAGGAAGACGGACCUAUGGUUUGUAAACUGCUUUUGAACUAGAGAAAACCCCUUUACGUGUAAAGGGCUGAUAGUAUAGUUAGAAUAAGCAUCGGCUAACUUCGUGCCAGCCGCCGCAGUAAAAC
rnacentral:rRNA from 1 species